AGUCCCCUUGCUCAUAACAAGAGCAUCAGAUCUGUUCAGUGCUGGAAGCGUUUCUGGAGCUGCGGCCUGUUUGACGAGUCAACAAAAGGAAGAGCCCUGCAGAGUGGCAGCAGAAACGAACAAGAGACCUUCUUUGUCCCUCAGUUCUUUUCCAGUCACCUCGUCCUCUAACACAAGCAGCAAAAGCUCAUGGCAGAACAACCCGGAGGGCGGCAAAGCUCCAAGCCCAACUUCAGCUCCUGGUUCUGACUGGGAACCGGACUGGGAGCCCUCCUGUUCCCAGGAGAGGGAAACCCAGCAGUCGUCUUUCAGAGCUCAGGUCUCUAAGAUCGAACAGUUUCUGAACAGUGAGAGGCUGCGUUUACCCAAAAGAUGCCGAACCGACGAAUGAAUGUGUCCUUUUUUUGCUAGACGAAAAAAACCUUUUAAUAAGUUUGUUAAUUUUUAGCAACUUAUGUUUAAAUGUUUCAGACAUUUCCUUGUUAUAAAAAGACACUGUAAGCACAAUUUCGGUUCUAUUUGGAUGAAAGUUUAGUGUAUAGAUAUACAUGAGUUAACUCAUUUCUGCCAUAAAACUUUACACACUAAUUUGAAUGUUUAAGAAAAGCAUGUUUUUACGCUAAACUGCUUAUUUAUUGUUGUCAGAUUUGUGCAGCUGUUUCAGGUGGAAAGCAUUUUUUGUUUAAGUAGAUGUCAAAACUAAUGUUUGGAUAUGGUUUUAUGCUUUUAUGAGUGGGAAUCAAUAUAAAGCUUAGAACUUUGUAUGUCAUUUUCUCUUUUCUAUUCAAGAACAUUCAUAAUACAAUUAUAGCAGUGUUUUUUUGUUUUGUUUUUUUGGUUAUAAAUACCUUUUUACAGGCUUUCUGACAUCAUGAUAUUCAAUAUUUCUUCAAUAUAAUUAAUAUCAUAUUUUUAGUUUUUACU